AGCUUUGCGCAGUAGCAGUAUCGUAGCCAAUGAGGUUUAUCCGAGGCGCGAUUAUUGCUAAUUGAAAGGGAAGAGAAAACGGACCCCAGGGCUACGCAUAAAUAAGCGGAGACUGCUUAUUAGAAAGGUAAAAGUCAGC